rnacentral:rRNA from 1 species
AUUUUUAGAAAUAAUUUCCACUACCAAAAUACUACAAGCUAUGCCCUCUAAAAUUAAAGGAUUUGGCGGUGAUUUAGUCCAGUUAGAGGAACCUGUUUAAUAAACGAUACACCACGCAGCAUCCUACCCACCCCCAAAGUCUGUAUACCGUCAUUAUCAGAUUACUCUCCUAUGAUUAGUUAUUUCAAUGAGCACACCCCAAACAAAUUAGAUCAAGGUGCAGCCAAUGAGUGGGACCCUUAUGGGUUACAAUAAAACUUAUUUACAACGAAGCCAAGAGUGAAACCCCUUAGUAAAGGAGGAUUUAAUAGUAAGAUUGGUUUAACAAGCCAAACUGAUAAAGGAUCUAAAUCAAGUACAUAUCGCCCGUCGCUUCCACCCACAAGUGGAAUAAGUCGUAACAUAG